GUUUUAAUAGUUUAAAUAAAAACUUUGGUCUUGUAAACCAAAAAUGAAAUAACUUCUUCUUAAAACU
rnacentral:tRNA from 1 species